CAUUCAUUUGCUGGUGUUAGAACCUACUUUUUUUCAGGAUUUCAACGUAGACCAAAGAACAGAAUCUCUUCAGGAAUCCUUCAGGACUCCAGCACUAGAUGGUACUGCUGAGACACCCAGUCUGGUGGACUGAACAACUACCAGAUUCUUGGCCUUUCCAUUGGGAGACUGCUAUUGUUGGAACACCAGACCACAGCCUGUGUUUCCAGAGUGGUCUAACCUGGGCAGGAUUGAGCAACUUCCAGCAGGUGGCUGAGUACUGAAAGGUGGCCCAGUCUAAAGAAAAAGCAGUGUUGGCUGCCUGCCUUCUCUGGGUCUGGAGCCAGUGCAUCUGUCUGCUGCCACUGUCCUCUUCUGACAUCAGACUGAAGUUUCUUCAGCCUUCUCUAACAUGAACGGAAUGCCAGUGACUCUUCAGGAAUUUUCCAAGCCUUCAGCACCAGGUUGACACUUUUUGGACUAAACAACCUUUCUAGUGUUGUGUAAGUCAAUCUAAUAAACCCCCCUUUAUUACAUA